GACGGAGGAUGCAAGCGUUAUCCGGAAUGAUUGGGCGUAAAGCGUGCGCAGGCGGCGGUUCAAGUCUGCUGUGAAAGACCGGGGCUUAACUUCGGAAAGGCAGUGGAAACUGAACAGCUAGAGUAUGGUAGGGGCAGAGGGAAUUCCUGGUGUAGCGGUGAAAUGCGUAGAGAUCAGGAAGAACAUCGGUGGCGAAGGCGCUCUGCUGGACCAUAACUGACACUCAGGGACGAAAGCUAGGGGAGCGAAUGGG
rnacentral:rRNA from 1 species